rnacentral:tRNA from 1 species
ACUUAAAUAGCUUAAGUUUAAAAGCUUAAUAUUGAAGAUAUUAUGAUGAGUGACUCUUUAGGUG